ACCACGCCAAAUAGAGACCACAGACGACACCAGAGGACCGGAGAUGAAGCAGCCAAAAGGUCAUCGGCUAGAGGUCGUGUAACCUUGCAUCGCUUUUUCUAACAUGGCUCUUGGGGUAUUUCACCUCUACUACUGAGCCUUCAUCCAUGUCUACAAAGGCAAAGAAGUUACUGGGGAAAUUGAUGAUGGGCCUGGCUGUCAUUGAGGAUGCUCUUGAUUAAGAACUAGAUGCCGAGAUCUGCCACUCAAGACCAGAAGACAGUCAGCCACGCUGAGAAAGCACUGGCAGGAGAAUACUGCUAUGUACAGACCAGGACAAAUGCAAGAUUUCAUCACUGACCGGACACUGAUUUCUUCAAAAGAGAAGAUGAAAGAGGAGGAACUGAAACCUAAGAUUUCACCUCAAGACCACAAGACAGUCAUCCACCUGGAGUAAGCACUGGAAGUAGAAUGCUGCUGGCAGAAGAAGAAACUGAAGGCUUGAUCAUUGACUGGCCAGUGACUUCUUCAAAAUAGAUGAUGCCUGAGGAAGGAAGAAGGCAGGGCUGCCACAGUUGCUGGACUCUGCCUCUGCACUGUAGUUUUUUUCAGAUUGGAAAGGCGGGAGCAGAGAGGCAUGUGACUGGUGCCUUCUGUGCUGUGGGUCAACACCGCCAUCAUGCGGAAAAUGUUUUGUAUAUCCUCGCUCAUGCACACACUGCUUCUUCCUCAGUGCUGCUUUGAGCCGUUUUUGAAGAGACCACAAUUUACAAAGUAGUGACAAAGAUGUGAGCUGUCUUUGCCACUUCUUCGGUCUUCAGACAAAACGUUUCCAACAGUUUGACCCAGAAUACAAGAAAUGGAGGCGCACUACAGGCUUGAAUGUGAGGACAGCCAGCAGGAUUCCCUGAGUUCUGACUACUAUUUGGCUGUGCAUUUCUGCAUUUGUUUCCAUCAGUUACUGGAUGAAGACUCUCUGACUACAAUUGGGAUAGUCACCACCAAUCUGAUCACAGGAGAUGGCCAGUUAAGGUAAUAUAUCCACUAUUGCUAAGAGCCUUAGCUGGGAUCAUCCUUGUAGAUUCAUUGGAGUUUCCCUUGCAUUAGGUUUCUAUUUGACCCUGAAAUGCCCCUCCUUUCCAAUCAUCUCUUUCAGUACUCUGCUGUGGGAUGUUCUGUAUGGCAAAUGUGUUGCUCUGAUUGGUUAGUAAAUAAAACACUGAUUGGCCAGUAGUCAGGCAGGAGGAAGUAUAGGCGGGACAAGGAGGAGAAUAAAGCUGGGAAGUGGAAGGCUGAGUCAGAGAUACUGCCAGCUGCCAAGAUGACAAACAGCAUGUGAAGAUGCCGGUAAGCCACGAGCCACGUGGUAAGGUAUAGAUUUAUAGAAAUGGAUUAAUUUAAGCUGUAAGAACAGUUAGCAAGAAGCCUGGUACGGCCAUACAGUUUGUAAGCAAUAUAAGUCUCUGUGUUUACUUGGUUGGGUCUGAGGGGCUGUGGGACUGGCAGGUGAGAGAGAUUUGUCCUGACUGUGGGCCAGGCAGGAAAACUCUACCUACAAGUGGCGCCCAAUGUGUUGGCAAGAGUUUCCACCUAAAACCUGAGAAAAGAUUCUAAAACUGAGCUAAAAACAGUUUCCUAAUUGUCUCUCUCAAAUGAGCGGCAGCUGCUGGUUUUAGCUACUGGUGGGUUCCUAGCGUGUGUGUGCCAUCUGCAGUAUGGCGGGAAUGAGGCCUCUGCAAGUGGCACAUUAAGGUGCGUGGUGGAUUUAGCCUUUGCUAGUACAAACAAAAAAAAAAGAGGUUUCUGGGCUACACACUGCUUGGAUAAAAGCAUAGAGCCACUAUAGCUCCCAGAGCUGGUGGUAAACGUACCACCACCAUGUUGGGAAGCUGAGGUGGGCAGAGCCAGCAGCCAUAGCGCCCUUUCAGUCCUACAAAUGCUGCAGUUUAAAGCAAUAUAUUCACAAUAAGACAGAUUCAGAUAUAAUAGUUUACAAUGUGGGUAAAAUAUACGUAGGCUUGAAAGAGACAAAAAAGGUGAUAUAUACAGUUAUAGAAACAAAUACAUAGUUUUAAAAAAUAAAGUCUUUAAAGAGACAGUAAAAUUAAUAUAAAAAAUAAGCCAUAUAAAGAUGAAUAUUACACAGAGAAUCUGGAUUGUUUUAUCUUUGGGAUUUUUAACUGCAGAGAAACAUUUGAUCAUAAAAGAUGGUGAGUUAGACCAAUAUGUAUAUUUUAAAGAUACCUUGACUUCAAAAUUUGGAUGUAAGGAUGUGUUGCUUUGGAAAGGAGACUCUGCUUUUGUACCCACAGAAAGCCAGAGGCUAUGGAUUUGUUCCAGAUUAAGAUACAUCAGGUUUGACCAGCCAAGACCCCUGAAAGGUCUCUGAUGACACCAUGGCCCAGAUGAUCCAACAUCCAGAAUGGUUUGAAGGCAACUGGCUCAGACAAUACAGCCUCAUGGACUAUUCCAUAAUCCUUAAAUUUUCUUUGUGUCCCCAUAAGAUAUAGCACCCCCCUCCAGCAGGAAGUAGUAAGAGAAGACAGUGAGUUAGCAGCAGUUUCAUGUCUGAACUACAACUGGAUGCUGAGAUGGGCCCCCAAGACCACAAGAGAACGGGUACCAUGAGAAAGGACUGGAGGUACAAUUCUGCUGGAUGAAGAGGGGGAGAAAUGCAGGAUUUCUUCAUUGACUAGACUCUUACUUCUUCAAAAGAGAAGAUGCAUGGAGAACGUUGGUGCCUCAGAUUGCACUUUCAUUUUUCUCUUCUUGUUUGCUUUAUUUAUUUAUUUUUUCUUCUGUCCUUUGGUCUGGAGUUCUGGUGUAGGUCCUUAUCCACUAGAUGUGACAUCAUUAUAAAAUGGUGAUAGAAGCUAAAUUCUAAGAGUGGAUCACUUUUCCUCCCUUUGCCUGCAGAAGGCAGGGCUGCCUUAGUUGCUGGACUCCUCCUUUGUGCUCGUGUUUUUUUUUUCAGAUUGGAAAGGCGGGAGCAGAGAGCUGCAGUAAGGUUUCCUGGCUCCUCUGGGGCAACACUGCCCUCAUGCGGAAACAGUUUCAUAAAUACCUGUGCACACACUGCUUCCUCAAUACUGCUUGUCACCACUUUGAGGAACUGAAACCUAAGAUUUCACCUCAAGACCACAAGACAGUCAUCCACCUGGAGUAAGCACUGGAAGUAGAAUGCUGCUGGCAGAAGAAGAAACUGAAGGCUUGAUCAUUGACUGGCCAGUGACCUCUUCAAAAUAGAUGAUGCCUGAGGAAGGAAGAAGGCAGGGCUGCCACAGUUGCUGGACUCUGCCUCUGCACUGUAGUUUUUUUCAGAUUGGAAAGGCGGGAGCAGAGAGGCAUGUGACUGGUGCCUUCUGUGCUGUGGGUCAACACUGCCAUCAUGCGGAAAAUGUUUUGUAUAUCCUCGCUCAUGCACACACUGCUUCUUCCUCAGUGCUGCUUUGAGCCGUUUUUGAAGAUCUGGAUCCUGAGACUACAAGACAAUCAGAUACCAUGAGAAGGCACUAGAGGAUAUCUGUUGCUGGGUGAAGAAGGGCAGAAGUUCAGGAUGUCAUCAUUGACUGGAUGCUGACUUCAUCAAAAGAGAAGAAGUCUGAGGGAGCCCGAGGAGAAGUCACGGAAGCCCAAGAAGGCACCCACAGUUGAUCUAGUUUCUGCAAUCGCCAUCUUCCGCCAUGGCUAAGAAUCAUGGGAAGAAAGCUCAGUGGCGCUGUGACUUUUGAAACUGCAACCUCAUGAUGGCAGUAGAGCUCUAGGAGGCAUCUUAACUGAAACCUAAGAUUUCACCUCAAGACCACAAGACAGUCAUCCACCUGGAGUAAGCACUGGAAGUAGAAUGCUGCUGGCAGAAGAAGAAACUGAAGGCUUGCUCAUUGACUGGCCAGUGACCUCUUCAAAAUAGAUGAUGCCUGAGGAAGGAAGAAGGCAGGGCUGCCACAGUUGCUGGACUCUGCCUCUGCACUGUAGUUUUUUUCAGAUUGGAAAGGCGGGAGCAGAGAGGCAUGUGACUGGUGCCUUCUGUGCUGUGGGUCAACACUGCCAUCAUGCGGAAAAUGUUUUGUAUAUCCUCGCUCAUGCACACACUGCUUCUUCCUCAGUGCUGCUUUGAGCCGUUUUUGAAGAUGUGAAUACUGCAAAGAUAAUUCCAGAAGCUGGCUCUCGAUGCUUCUAUUGACUCAUGCCUGUAAUCCCAGCACUCACAAGGCUGGAGGAGGAUGAUAGCUGUGAGGCUGAGGAUAGUUUGGCCUCCAUACACAGCAUAGCUCAUGGUGUGUCAGUGUGUCCUAAAUUAGCUGUGAAUCUGUUAUGUUGUCCCUUCUGGUCAGCAACCUCUGAUUGUCAACCCUGAACAUUUGUACUGGUGGGAAUCACAGCUCUCAAGAGCACAGGCCAACUGGGUAUGAUGAGAAAGCACUGGAGGUAGAAUGUUGCUGUAUGAAGAAGGGGCAAAUGCAACACCUGACCAUGUGGACCUUGAGAUCUAGAAAGAAGAGCUACCUGCUAAGGACUGGAAGCCUCCGAGUCCUCGUCCAAAUGGAUCUCAGCUGAACUGAUGCCCAAAAGACUAAACGCUUAACAGACUAUACCCAAGGGAACAGUCCACUAGGCUUGCUCAUCACCAACCUACUAUGAAACAGAUAAGAAAACUGUGGAGAAUAAUAUGAUUUUUGUCUCAGGCAUCAAGAACUUCAGCCAUCUAUAAGUCUGACCAAAUGGGCGGGAGAAGAGAAUGUAAGAUGGCGCUGCUGAGCUUAUCUAGAGCACUACUGCCCCCAAGUGGAAUUAGUUUUAGCAAACGUGGCACCAUCACGGUUUCUUUCCCAUAAACCCCAGCAAGGAAGAGGACUGGCUGACAAAUGGAAGCUCAUUGUCUCCAAGGCACCAAGAUACCAGAAAGUCUGGAUCCCCUAGGUUUGCCCCAAGAACCACCAGAAAGUUUGAUACCAUAUAGAAGGCUGGUGGGUAAAGAGCGGCAGAAACCAGAAGACUUGGCUAUGUGGACACAGACUUCUUCAAAAUGACAUGUAUCUGAUCAUAGAUGACAGUGGGUACCUCAGGCGGGUCUUACUUCUUUUCCUUUGUUUCUCCAUAGUUCUGGUGCUGGGAUAAAGUUCCAGCCUUUCCUAAUGUCUCUGCUAUUGAUAGCAAAUGGAAUCCAAAAGGUAAAUUCUUAGAUAAGCUCACUCUUUUUCAGAUCGAGGAAAAAAGAUUCGCCUUUGGGAUCUUUUUUUCAGAUUGGAAGGGCGGGGGUAGAGUCAACUCCUUGAUGCUUAUGGACAAAUACUGCCAUCUUGCGGACGAGUUUCACAAACCCCCACCAAUACAUAAUUUCUUCCAUGCAAGUCCCUAGGAAAGCUGUGCCUAUGGGAGGUUGAAGAGUCCCAGAUUCCACUAACCAUUACAAUAUUUUCCUCUGUGGGUAGCUUGGAGCCAUGCACUAGUGUACUCUAGAUGCGUAACCUAGAGACAAAGGGACUGGAACCAAGUGCAGUCGCCCUGAGGUACAGGAAGAAGAAGUGGAGGGGCAGAGCUAAGAUUAAAAAAAUUAUUUAUUGUAUUUAUUAAUUUUUAUUAUUUUUAAUGAUGUGUACAUUUCUGUGAGGGUAAGUACCUACCACCCCUCUUGGUUGUUAGGAAUCAACUCAGGCCCCGGACAGGAGCAGUACAUAAAACUGAGGAAUUCCUCUAGCCCCAAGCCUGGAGUCUCGAUUAAAAAAUUGUCUUAGCAAGCUCAUCAUGACCAUUACAUUUCCAUUGGGAAUGACUGGCUGAUUUACCAUGACAGAAGCAGCCACAAGGAAUACCAAACUCCAAAAGCAGUGAUGUCAAGAGAAAGCUUGCAUGUUGCUUCAAGGGAACUGAGUAGUAGACAAAGACCACCAGGAACGUGCAUUUAUCUCUAGGAGGGGCUCUUUGGUCUUCCCAAACUUGAAGAUCCCAGUUGGUGGUCCUAAUGCCUUCCUGUAUCAGUAUUUUUGUCCAAGGUUCAUCUUUCCAGGCUGCUCCUAGCUUCAGGGUCUAGACUGCAGCAUCAUUAGUGUCUAUCCUCUCCUAACUCCUUUGGAAAUGACAUGUUGGCCAGCUUGGAGCCUAGUCACCUUCUAAGACCUUUAAGGCCAGUCAUUCCCUUUUGAAUGAGCUCCAUGGAAAAGAACUUGGUGUUUUAAAAGCAUUGCCUCAUGUGUAAGUAUAUAUCUACACCAUCCCUUCCUGUCUGAAAAAACUUGACCAAGAAAAGGAAGCCAGAACAUAUAGUUACAGUUCAUUUUGGCCUUGUUGAUGUGAUUUAAAGCCCAGAGAGCAGCUUUGUUUUCUGUUUUUGUUUUGAGAGACAAGAUCUAGCUGUGUAUCCCUGAGGAGCAUUUCCUCAGCCUCAGGCUUGGGCUAGUUUGUCAGUGUUUUCAAACAUCUCUAGCAAAAACCUCACAAAUCCAAAUGUUCCUUUUUAUUACUGUUUGAUACCAAUAUUCUUCUUUCAGCCUCUCCUGUCAAACCCUGUUUACCUAUGAAGAAUUUUCCCACACAUCUGAAUCUACAAGAAGCACAGUUCUUGUUCAACUCUCCAGACAAUUGGGCGCACGCACCUGAGACCAUCCCAAACACUCCUUCUCAUGCUGUAUGACUUCCAGAACUGAUCCGUGCUUGCUAUUUCUACACCACUGCAAUAACAUAGCCCCUCUGGCUUAGCACAGAGAUGUUAGUUAAAAUCCUGCUAAGUCAUGCUUCAAGGGGCUGGAGCUGGAAAGAAGUGCCCAUGUGAGCCUGAAUUUGUCUUUCCAUGGGUUUUUGUUAUCUUAAAAUUGAGAGGAACCAAUGCCCCUUUUUGGGCUCUGUACAAUCAUUUUCCACACCAAGGUAUAACUGGCAUCCAUGCCUCUCUUAGGACAUUAAGGAGAAGGCAUGGGGGGCCCAAUGUUAAAUUUUUCAACUGGAGGCACACUGAUUGUGGGGACAGACUUUCAUGUUGUUGUUCACUCCAGAGUCUUCCAGGGAGGAUCUCAAUUUAGACAAGGCUAGAGAACAAAUACUUGCAUUGUUGUGACCCUUCCUUGAUCAUGGUGUGGGCUUCCAUACCCCUAUAUAAGUUUUAAAGACACCAGAGAGUGAGCCUUCAAAACCAAGUGUUCUCUAUCAUUCUGAAGGGAAAAAUAUUUUCUGUCUCUUGUCAAUCACCAUUCACAAAGCACAACUCAAGAGAUGGUUAAGACUCAUCAGACAAAUCUGUACCAGUUACGAGGACAGGGGAUUUGAGUUCAGUCUGUCAUCAAUGAACCCCUUUUGUCCAUCAUACACCAUUGCAUUCCUUCUCGGAUGCUUAGAAAAAGCAAGCAUUUUACAGGGGAACAAGUAUCUUUUCUGUAUACACUGUAUUGUUGUAUUAUCAUGCGCUGCUUAAGCUCACUGAGAAGCUGGGUCUGGAGGUGGGACUUGGCCUUUCUACUUGAGACCCAAGCAUGUUUGUCUGAAAGUAUGCUUCUAAACCUCCUAUCCUGGGUUAGUCUAGACACGUGGUUCAGGGAAAAGGAGAGCAACAAAACAGGCCAAGAGUAAAGGGACUGUACCCUUAGGAACAGCUCAGAGUCAAUUUAUUUCCAAUACAUCUCCAAUAGAAACAGAGGUUUCUUUUGUUUAUUCUCUAACAGAAGAUGUCUGUAAUGAACACAGGUAAUAGGUAACACCAGCAUCACAGUUUUAACAGGCCUACUUCAGCUGAUUUCUUAAGGAUGUUCUAAACAUUGAUUUGAUGAUGGUUUGUUAUCUACCUGUAUGGUACCCACACUCAUAGCAAACCAAAGUCACAGGUAUGGUAAAGCAUUCUCUGGACCAUACAGAAUAUAAAGAGACCUUUGUCUUGUGUUUUCUAUGAGGUUUGCCUGGGAAUUUACAAAGCCUCAUUGUCAACAAUGUAUACAGGUAAUCUUAAUUUAUCACAUUAUGCAAUGCAUAUAGCUUGGAUUAAACCAUCAUUUAAUAAGAUGUUACUGUGAUAUAAGGAAAGAAAUAAAAGGGAACUAAUAAGUAGAAGAGAUAAUGAAAUAUUAAAAGGAUAUGGAAACUUUGUCCUUAGUUAAGAUCACUGGAUGUUUCCAAACUGGAAAAGAUAAAAAGACAGUGGAAAGCCUGAAGAAAUCACAAAAGGUCUGAGUAGGUUAUAGAAAGUAUGGGAAAGAUGAGGGAUAGUGAUGAUACAUGUAAGAUUAAAAUUUCUAAUGUCCAAUGUCCUGUUUAGAUCAAUAGCAUUCUCUUACGUUGAAGAUAUGCGUUUGGUAACCUUCACAAGGACUGACAUAAACCAUCAAAAUAGUCUACGCAAGACUUAUUUAAAAGUGUUUGACUUUUGCCAAACUUUAUUUAAUGUUACACAAAAGUUAAAAAAUACCAGACUGGUGUAACUGACCUGGGUUUUAAAUAACCAUACUUAGAAGCCUAUACUAAUGUGAAUAGAGGGAUUAAAUGGGACUGCAUUUUGGACCUUGCCUUCAAAGGUCCUACAACUCUGGCAAGUCACUGUCUUCCUGAUCAGAGAAGCUAUGGAGACUGCACAGGGUGGACUCUAGCCAGGGGACAACAGCAUUUGUACAUUUUAUGAACAGAAGAGUUGAUACAAAGAGAAUGGCCUCAAUGCUUCAAAAGAAUGUUGUCAGCAAUGCCUUGUGACUUAUGUGCAACAUAGCACAACUAAUAAAUGAAAGAAAAAGGACAAAGAAGGGCCCUCCUCCCAAUCACAAAUGACCCCUGAGGACCAGACACUCAACUGGCUUUGACAGUAAAAGAAAGUUAUUUUAGGCCACCUGCAUGGUCUUAAAGUAGUAGGAAAGUAUAAUCAAAGGUUAAAAAUUAUAUAUACAUAUAAUAACUUAAAAAUUAUACACAUAAAUUUUAACCUUUGAUUAUAUAUAUAAAUAAUUAUGUAUAGGAUAUAUAUGGAUCAUAUUCACCAGACAUUACUUAGGUCUAUGUGAGGUAUUUGUUAUAAACCAUUUCUGACUAAUUUUUUUUUCUUGAUAAGGAAAAUACUGCAUAGACACAGGACUUCAAACUUUAGGUCAAUUUCAGCACUGCAGCACCUACAUGGGAACCUACAGUUGAGAGAGACAGACCCACUGUUCUAACCUAAAAAUCAUACACUAGUUAAAUAUCUUCUGCUCUAGAAGCCAGCUGAGGGGGACCUCACACUAGGAUUUUAGCCUUUCCAACAGCUAUCAAAGUACCUGAAAGCAGAUCCUGGGUUCAUCACUCUCAAGGCAAGCCUUGGAGAAUGGGAGUGGGGGGAAAGACCUGAGGAGCCCAAAGGAUGGGUGUUCUUGCAAGCCUAUGGAGGCUUUAUAAUGGACAUUGACUUGAACAUUUUUAUUUUUAGACAGGCUUUUUUUGUUCUGGCUUCUAGUGUUCUGCCUGGGGCUUAUAAUGCUGAGCUGUUAUAAAAAUUCAUGCCUGCUUCUAGUGGGAAAGAAUCAUUCCCCUGCUCAGAGAUCUGCAAUUUUCCUUCUCCUUUUUUAAAGUUAAAUUUAUUUUACAUUUUA